rnacentral:rRNA from 1 species
CACCUGUUCCCAUCCCGAACACAGAAGUUAAGCCCUUAUACGUCGAAAGUACUUGGCUGGAAGCGGCCCGGGAGGAUAGAUAGCUGCCGGUU